rnacentral:rRNA from 1 species
AAUUCGAUGCAACGCGAAAAACCUUACCUACCCUUGACAUGGCAGGAAUCCUGCAGAGAUGUGGGAGUGCUCGCAAGAGAACCUGCACACAGGUGCUGCAUGGCUGUCGUCAGCUCGUGUCGUGAGAUGUUGGGUUAAGUCCCGCAACGAGCGCAACCCUUGCCAUUAGUUGUCAGCGAGUCAUGUCGGAUACUCUAAUGGGACUGCCGGUGACGAGCCGGAGGAAGGUGGGGAUGACGUCAAGUCAGCAUGGCCUUUAUGUCCAGGGCCACACACGUGCUACAAUGGACGGUACAGAGGGACGCAAGACCGCAAGGUGGAGCAAAUCCUCAAAACCGUUCUCAGUUCAGAUUGCAGGCUGCAAUUCGCCUGCAUGAAGCUGGAAUUGCUAGUAAUCGCAGAUCAGCUACGCUGCGGUGAAUACGUUCUCGGGCCUU